rnacentral:rRNA from 1 species
GAUGAACGCUGGCGGCGUGCCUAAUACAUGCAAGUCGAGCGAACAGACGAGGAGCUUGCUCCUCUGACGUUAGCGGCGGACGGGUGAGUAACACGUGGAUAACCUACCUAUAAGACUGGGAUAACUUCGGGAAACCGGAGCUAAUACCGGAUAAUAUAUUGAACCGCAUGGUUCAAUAGUGAAAGACGGUUUUGCUGUCACUUAUAGAUGGAUCCGCGCCGCCUUAGCUAGUUGGUAAGGUAACGGCUUACCAAGGCAACGAUGCGUAGCCGACCUGAGAGGGUGAUCGGCCACACUGGAACUGAGACACGGUCCAGACUCCUACGGGAGGCAGCAGUAGGGAAUCUUCCGCAAUGGGCGAAAGCCUGACGGAGCAACGCCGCGUGAGUGAUGAAGGUCUUCGGAUCGUAAAACUCUGUUAUUAGGGAAGAACAAAUGUGUAAGUAACUAUGCACGUCUUGUCGGUACCUAAUCAGAAAGCCACGGCUAACUACGUG